AAUUAAAAGACUAACAAUAAAGAAAACUAACUAAAUAAUAUAAUUUAAUAAUGGAUGGGUGUUUGGUUUUGACGAGAAGUAAAUUAAACUUAAUUAAAUUACAGAAUUGACAAAAACAUAAAAUUAAGGUAAAAUGAUAAAUGACAGACUAGCUAGAGGGUUUUUCUCUACACAUGACACAUAUGCAACCUAAAUUGAUUUUCAGUUGUUCUUUCAAUAAAUUGUAAAUCUCAACGCCCCAAAUUAACCGUGAACAGCACUUUUUUAAUCUUCAAGUUUUCCUUAAGUUAUUGAAUUGGACGGGGAAAACGCAUACAACAAUUCAAAACAUUCUUCAAAAGUCCCCUACGUGAAAAGCACAAUAGAGAUACAAUCAAAGAUCAUUAGACUUUGUGAAAACUAUAAGCAUUGACGAGGCAUUCGUAACUAUGAAAAGCAUGAUACUCUUGCCAAGAAUUCACUUAACACGAUUGUAGAUAACAACCUUCACUACUUGUGAAUAUAAGUUCAUAACGAUUAGGUGAAAUUCACUUAUAUUCUAGCAUCAAAUUCAUGCAUGUAAAUUAAGUAUGCAUCCUUAAUCGACAUACAAAAAUAAGUUAUCAAUCAAACAGUUAAGCAAAUUAAAUCACAACUCAGAAAUCACAACUGAAGGUAAUCAAUUCAUAUUACAAAUAUAUUCAUGGCUUUGAAUUAACCUCUAGCCAAAAAUAAAUUUAAUUACACAUUAUUAAAAACAGAAAUAAAAGAGAAGUUUGGAAAAAUUAAACCGAAAGAGGAUCUGCUGCGUUCGUGCCCAUGCUUGCCCUCUCCCUCGCUGACUUGCUUUCUGUUUAUCACCUGGACUGCACUGCCUCACUUCUCUCACUACCGCUGCCCAAUGGCAGCCCUCGUGUUCUCUGUCCGUGCUCACAGCUGCCAAAUGGCAGCUGUUCCUCUUCAGCCUUAUUUCCUCGCCUCUCACUCCCGCGUCUUUUCUGCGCCUCCUGCGCUCUCUGCGAGCUUCUCUCCUUCCUGCGUCUCUGCGAGCUGCCCAAAGGGCAGCCCCUUUCUCCCGCUCCCAGACCCCCCUGUUUCUCUACUCCCGCUUAUCUUUUAUCUCAUUCCUUUUAUUCUCGCGCUGACACCCCAGCUUUCUUUCCUCUCUCACACGCUGCCAAGGCAACUUUUUCCAAUCUGUCCCCGCGUGCUCUUGCUUUCCCUUCUGGCGCACUCUGACCUCUCCACUGCCUUGGAUUCUUUUCACCGUUUCUUUAUUAUUUUUUUUAUUUCCUUUUUCUUAGUUGCCCCAGCAGCUCCUAAUCCUUUUUGAUGUCCCCCCCGCGUCUGCCUCCUAGCUGUCUCUCAGCCUUCCACUUCCUUGGAUCCCUUUUGUUGUCUAGUUGGAAAGCCACGCUUGCUUAUGAUCAUAAUAGCUAAGAAGCAUCUGAUGGGCAAUUGCACUUCUAAACAGCUUACUACGAGUAUUGACUCCCGAAAUGCAUUCCACAAUUCAUAGGCAGGUCACGUCUUUAGGAACUCUGCAAGCAAGAGAAUUUGCUUGAAGUUGGCGAUCAGAAAAUAGACAAAUAAUGACUUCAAUUAACUCUUCGACUUCAAUUAUAAUCGCAAUGAAUAAACUAAAUUAAUUGACCUACAAAAAAUCAUAAUGUUCGAAGUAACUAUUUUGUUUAUUAUUUAAAACUCAUUUGUGCUAUUUUUAUUUUCUUUGCAUAACAGAUCCUAUAAACACAAAAAUAACGUAAAUAGCUCAAAAAUAUAAGGAACUAACUAAGAAAAGACGAGUGAAUUCGAAGUAAAAAUAUAUAUAAAUAUGAUCCGAUCAAAUACCCCCACACUUAACUUUUGCUAGUCCUCGAGCAAAACAAAGAAAACAUGAAAAAGUAAUAACAUGAAAAACAUUAGCUUCCCUCUAUGUGACCCUCAUAGAAUUUCAUUCAGGAAAACAAAUCAUCAAGAACCAUAGCUAGCAUCAAGGAACUAAUCCAAGUUCAUCUUCCUUAUUCAAAUAUUAGCAGUAAUCUUUGAAUCAUCCUUGAAGUGUAGUGUGUGAGAUAGCCAUGCUAAUGCAAUUUCAAGUUUUUAUUUUUAAAAUCAUCAUAUGCAAACUAGCGAACUUCUCACGGGAUAUGCACUCAAUCACAUAUGUGUUUAGUUUUAGUGUGUUUCGCUCAAAGAAACAAAUGUGAAAUUUCUACCAUAAGCUUGCAUAAAGAUCACUUCUCCAUAGUCAUAAUUGCAAAACUUAAAUCAAGAGAACUUUUAUUGGAUAUAAUGAGGCUUAGGGAUAGGGUUAUUGAAACGAUAGAAUAGGAAAACACAAGUUCCAAGCUACAUUGCAAGCAAUUCUUUUCUUUAGAUUUAUAAGAACUCAAGCUCUCCAACAAUUCUUCUAAUACCUCCAAUCACACCCUUAAACUGAAACUUUAAAAACUUUUUAUUUUCUUCGUAUACAAUCUUUCUUUUUUUUUUCUUUUUUUUUUUUUUUUUAUUUUUUAUUUUUUAUUUUUAAUACAAACAUGAAAUACCCCCACACUUAUUCUUUUGCCAAACACCUUCAAAGUACUUCACAAACAUUUCUCAUAAGACAAUCUCGCAUUGCUCGCUUGGAAAGGGUAAGGAAAAAUGUUUCAGGUAUAAGGGUAGACAUAUCUGGUGAUAAGAAAUAAAAGGCUCAACAUACACGGCUCAAAUUGGCAAUCUAAUGAUAUCAUUUUUAUUUGGGAAACAUGGUUAUUUGGGCCAUAGUGGUAAACCUAAUGCCUCUAUCAUUUCCAAGUUCAUGCAAUCAAUGACAAACAUUUUGAAAGAUCGUUAUGCAAGUUCUAGAGAUGUAUCUCACAUAAGUUCAUCACACAUGAAAGAAUAGGAGUGUAUGAAAAAUGCACACACUUUCAAUCGGCUCAAAAACUCACAUAGGAUGUAUAUGGUCACUAAAUUCACAUAUGAAGCUUUAAGUCAUACUUUAGUUUCACAUUAACAAGGCUAUGUGCAUUUGGUUUUUCAAAGAUGAUCAAACAUGUACAAAACUAACAAGAGAAUUAGGAAUUUCACAAAACACAUGUUAACUAAGUUCUUGAUGAUCAUGGUUCAAAUUUGAUCCAAUUAUAUCAUUGGGACGGGAAACUAACAAAAAUCUAAUUCAUAACAAUAAGGGAAACAAGACAAUAUUUUUGGAUUUUUAAAUUUUCCGAUUUUUUUUUUAAAUUUUUUUUUUUUUAAAAGAAAACAAAACUAAUUAAGAAAACAAAAAGCAACAACAUGGAAACAAAUGAAACUCGUUCGUAGUUGAAGGUACAAAAAAAAAAAAUUUCAAUUUGGUCAUUUUUAUACUCUUUACCCCCAAACUUAAACUGGACAUUGUCCCCAAUGUCAGAAAACACUAUAAUGCAACAAAAAAAUAAAUAAAUAAAUAAUAAGAAACAAAAUAAAGCAAUUGGACUGAAAACUUCCCUAGUUUGCAGUAAAACCAAGCGAUGACCCCCCAAGCUAAAAUUCUGCAAUCAACUUCAAGGGUGGAAAUAACCAAAAAUUCCUGCAAAGAAAAGAAAUAAUUCAGUUAAGUAACGCAAGAAAAUGUAAAAAAAAUUGCAAACGAAAAAUUGAAAAUCACGAUAAAAGACAAUAAAUAGAACUAAUAAGUGAUCAUUGAUCGUGCUUGUUGACUUUCCACAGCUUUCCUCUUGAACGGGGUGACACUUAGCUUUUUACUUGCAAGUGAUGAUUUGAUGAUAUUGUACGGCGAAGCUUUGCUCUUUGGGAAUGUUGCAGUUCCUUAUUCGUUCUCCAAGCAGAUGUGGCAGCUUCUCUAGUUCUUCAGCUCGGACUUCUUCCGCUGGGAUGAUUGUACGAGUUGCAUUCUUCUCUGCUUGUUUCUUUUGUACGUUAUCUCCACAUGCUGCUGGUAUCAUUUUCGCUUGCCUUAUCUGUUCUUCAGGUAGAUGUGGCAGCUUCUUUGGAAGUACAUCAGCAGUGGAAGACGAGUACUCGAGAGCAAUUUCUCCAUGUCCUGCAGGUUAGAACAAAGACAAGGAAAAGAACAUGGAGAAUGCAUGAUAUGAGAUACUCUUGCUUUCAACCAUUAUGAUAUGAAAUACUUUUGCUCUGGAUGGGUUGUUUGCAGGGGUAUCCCAGGGAAUGAGGAAUACAGUGACUCGAGAGGGUUCUUUGGGAAUGCAUUCUCGGAGAUGAAGAAGUGCUGAGAGGGUGUGCCUUUGCUGUGGAAGGCGAAGGUAAAUACUUAUAGGACUUUUCUUCACAACCGGAACUAUUCUCUCACUCAUUGUCGGCAGCCGGUGGAUGGAUGAAUAGUACAAAUUACGUGCUUUCUGACAAAGCUGCCCGUAAUUUCCGCAAAGCAGAUUCCUCAUUGAUAUCUGGAAUCGGCGCUUCGAGCUCUGAGCAUCGUCGAUUGUAGAGGUAGCAUGUGACACGUGCGGAUAAAUCUGGAAAAGAAGAUUUGCCCGUGGGUUGAAGCCCAGCUUUUGAGAGAAAGCUAGCGUGUCUUUGACUGUUGAAUUUCCCUCUUCGAUUUCUGAAUUGGUGCUUCGACAAACUGCCCGAGAAUUUCGCAAAGCAAUUUGCGUGUGACAAGUGACGACACGUCAGGACAAAUUGAUCUUUUGAAAUCCGGGGUUCGGCUCGUGGUUUCUGAGCAAGCCCAGCCUUUAACAAAUGAAACGCCUCUUUUGAGAAAAGAAUCCGGCUUUUGAGAAAGGAGCCCCGACUCUUCGAUUUGCGAGAGGACGCUUCUCUGAGGAGCGCCUCUUUGAUUUCUUCCUUUUUAUAGAGACGUUAAGCUUGUUCCACAACACACUUGAGCUCCCUCCUGUAAACACUCCCUUCUUGCACUUGUUUAAUCUUGAUCAUUCCGACUCUCUUCUUUCUUCACCACCUCUGAAAAAUGUCUGGCCCUUCCGAUCGUCGUUUUGACUUGAACAUUGGUGAAGAGGCAGCUCCGCCUUCACCAGACAAUAUAUGGCGCCCAUCCUUCAUAUCCCCUACCGGUCCUCUUACCGUGGGGGAUUCGGUGAUGAAAAAUGACAUGACUGCUGCGGUGGUGGCCCGGAACCUUGUCACCCCCAGAGAUAACAGACUGCUCGCUAGGCGGUCUGAUGAAUUGGCGGUUAAGGAGUCUCUGGCUCUUAGCGUGCAGUGUGCGGGUUCUGUGUCCAACAUGGCCCAACGCCUAUUUGCUCGAACCCGUCACGUUGAAUCGUUGGUGGCUGAAAUACAGAGUCUCAAAGAGGAGAUUAGAGGACUCAAGCAUGAAAAUAAACAAUUGCACAAGCUUGCACACAAUUAUGCCACAAACAUGAAGAGGAAAAUUGACCAGUUGCAAGACACUGAUGGUCAAAUUUUACUUGAUCAUCGGAGGUUUGUGGGUUUGUUCCAACCGCAUCUUCCUUCGUCUUCUGGAGCGGCACCGCGUAGUGAAGCUCCAACUGAUCAACCUCUGCCGCCUCCUCCUUCUGUGGCCCCGCCGACUGCUGAAGCCCCGCCUACUACUGAAGCACCACCCGACCAAUGAAUACUAUUAGUUUACAUCAUUGUAAAAUAUUUGUACUUUUUUAUCUUUUUUAUUUUUUAUUUUUUUAUAUAUGUAAAUUAAUGUAAAGAGACUUUGGUUAACCUUCCCCCACACUUAAACUAAAUAACACAAACUCACAGAAAUCAACCAAUAACACAACUAAUUAAACAAAACAAAAUGAAAGCAGUAAAGAUAAGGGUGGAAGAAUGCAAAGCUGAUUGGGUUAGUGAUUCCAAAGUCUCCCUUCGUUGAAUGCUUGGGUUGCCUCCCAAGAAGCGCUUGAUUUAACGUCUUUAGCCGGACGCAUCUUUCCUUUAAAUUUCCCUCGGCUCCAUUUGAACCUAAAAUCAAAGAAAGAAAAAUAAAUCAAAUAUCAAAAGUAAAAUACACAAACACCAAUAUAAACAUAAACAAAAACAAAAAUAAAAGGAUUAGCAAAGUUACUAAUCCUCGGCAACGGCGCCAAAAUUUUAUGCGAAAUAUAUAAGCACACAAAUUAAACCCUCUUUUUGACAAUUGUAGUAUAGAUGUAAGUAGGGUAUCGUUCUAGGCCGGGGAUUAGGAGGGAUUGCUAAUCUAUUCUAAAUUAAUUUAAAAAUAUUAAAUAAGACUCAAGGACACAAAACUAGGCUAAAAACUCUAAUAACUCGAAACACACUUAAAAUGACUCAAAAUAAUGAAAACAAUCAAAUUAAACACUAGGAACUGAAAUGGAUGGAAAUUAAAUUAAAAGACUAACAAUAAAGAAAACUAACUAAAUAAUAUAAUUUAAUAAUGGAUGGGUGUUUGGUUUUGACGAGAAGUAAAUUAAACUUAAUUAAAUUACAGAAUUGACAAAACAUAAAAUUAAGGUAAAAUGAUAAAUGACAGACUAGCUAGAGGGUUUUUCUCUACACAUGACACAUAUGCAACCUAAAUUGAUUUUCAGUUGUUCUUUCAAUAAAUUGUAAAUCUCAACGCCCCAAAUUAACCGUGAACAGCACUUUUUUAAUC
rnacentral:lncRNA from 1 species